CCCACCCCUGGGGCAGGUUCGGGCGGUCCAUCUAGCGCGAAGCCUGCAUCAGGUAGCGUUGAUAGAGGGGGACUAUUACAAAGCAUUCAAGCUGGAACGAAAUUGAGAAAGGUUAGUGAGUCGACCAGCGCACGUAAAGAAAUUCCCAAGGUGCAGAGCAAUAGCAUGCGAGGGGCACUGGCACGAGCGUUGGACAAUAGAGCCAAAGUACUCGGUGACGAGGAUUCCGACGAUGACGACGAAUGGGAUGACGACGACGAUGAUGAUUGGUCAGACUGAAUUUGAGCUUUGAUUUAGGAAA